AACGAACGCUGGCGGCAUGCCUAACACAUGCAAGUCGAACGAGGCCUUCGGGCUUAGUGGCGCACGGGUGCGUAACGCGUGGGAAUCUGCCCCUUGCUUCGGAAUAACAGUUAGAAAUGACUGCUAAUACCGGAUGAAGUCUUCGGACCAAAGAUUUAUCGGCAAGGGAUGAGCCCGCGUAGGAUUAGGUAGUUGGUGGGGUAAAGGCCUACCAAGCCGACGAUCCUUAGCUGGUCUGAGAGGAUGAUCAGCCACACUGGGACUGAGACACGGCCCAGACUCCUACGGGAGGCAGCAGUGGGGAAUAUUGGACAAUGGACGCAAGUCUGAUCCAGCAAUGCCGCGUGAGUGAUGAAGGCCUUAGGGUUGUAAAGCUCUUUUACCAGGGAUGAUAAUGGCAGUACCUGGAGAAUAAGCUCCGGCUAACUCCGUG
rnacentral:rRNA from 1 species